rnacentral:rRNA from 1 species
UACAGAGGUGGCAAGCGUUGUUCGGAAUUACUGGGCGUAAAGGGCGCGUAGGCGGUCUUCUAAGUCUUGUGUGAAAUCCCCUCGGCUCAACUGAGGAACUGCACGGGAUACUGGAAGACUUGAGUUCGGGAGAGGGAAGCGGAAUUCCGGGUGUAGCGGUGAAAUGCGUAGAUAUCUGGAGGAAUACCGGUGGCGAAGGCGGCAUCCUGGACCAUUACUGACGCUGAGGCGCGAAAGCG